CCUACGGGUGGCAGCAGUGAGGAAUAUUGGUCAAUGGACGAGAGUCUGAACCAGCCAAGUAGCGUGAAGGAUGACUGCCCUAUGGGUUGUAAACUUCUUUUAUAUGGGAAUAAAAUGUUCCACGUGUGGGUUUUUGUAUGUACCAUAUGAAUAAGGAUCGGCUAACUCCGUGCCAGCAGCCGCGGUAAUACGGAGGAUCCGAGCGUUAUCCGGAUUUAUUGGGUUUAAAGGGAGCGUAGGUGGAUUGUUAAGUCAGUUGUGAAAGUUUGCGGCUCAACCGGAAAAUUGCAGUUGAAACUGGCAGUCUUGAGUACAGUAGAGGUAGGCGGAAUGCGUGGUGUAGCGGUGAAAUGCUUAGAUAUCACGAAGAACUCCGAUUGCGAAGGCAGCUCACUGGACUGCAACUGACACUGAGGCUCGAAAGUGUGGGUAUCAAACAGGAUUAGAUACCCCUGUAGUC
rnacentral:rRNA from 1 species